ensembl:lncRNA
GCUCAUGUAACUAAUAUAAUACUGUCUUGAAUUUCACUGAUCUGUAGGUGAUGCUUCUGCCUAUGAGACAAUCAGACGUUCUGGAAAUUCUAUGAACCAGCCAACUUCUACAAUAAUGUCACGUCAGCUUGAAGGACUUAAUAAGAGCAGUCCAUAAAAUCAAGUGACUCUUCAGCAGAAGAAGAGACUGAGUGGCAACAAUGUGAAAAACAACAUUCAAGUUUAAAUGUGUUUGAUAACAUUUAUACAUGGCAAAACUGCUAAUACUGCUUUUGUGUUUAUGCUGAUGUAGUAUCUGAGAUAAAUAAGACCAUAUAAGUAACUGUGUUAAGCAGAAGAGUCAGUGUCGCUCAAUUCACCACCUCACAAUCAGCAGGUACAUUAAUGAAGCCUUGUAAAAUGUUACCUUCAUAUUAAACACAUUUUCCAAGUUAAAGGCCCUUGAAGUACAUGGAGAAGGUCACUGUUUUUUUUUCUGUUGAAUGUGUUAUUUUUUCCAGCAUUUCUUAGCAAUGCAACCAAAUCAAUUUUACAUCAAUGUCAGAUGUCACGAAAGCCAGUCUUGUUUUGUUCAGCACAGUUUUUCUAUAAUCAACUUUGAGCAUGAAUUUAAAGGGUUAUACCAGCAUGUGGGAUAGAUCGUUGGUCAAAACAAGUUCUAAAAUAUGAAAGAUGUCACUUUUGUCACCAUUUUGAUUCCAAGCUUAUCCUCUUAGAUGUAAAUGUUUCACAUAUGGUGCAGAUUUUUACGUUAGAUUUCAGGCCAAGAAGAUGAGCAUAAUGCUUACAAUGGAAGUGGUAUUGAGUAUCAUUGUCAGAAAUUAGGUAACUCACUUUUUCCUGAAUUUUAUCUGAUAAAAAGUUGUGCCUCCUCAGAGCUUCGUUUAUGUACCUGUAUACAUUUAUCCUUUAGGUAUAUAAAGAGAAAUGUGCAGACUAUGAGGAUACAGUAAGGUUAUAUUGAGAGUUAUUCUGUAUAUAAAUCAGUGAAUUUUGUAGAAAUGUCAUUAUUUUAUCUAUUGAUUUUACAUUUGGCUGCAUCUCUUUUUUUUCUUUUAUUGCAUUCUGAAUUUGUAAUGAGGU